UAUUUAUAUAUGUGUUUACUAUUUUUAAUCAUUAGUGAGUGAGCGAGUGUAUACCGGUUUUCGGUAUGUCUAUAUUUUCUUUACUGUAUUUUUUUAUUAUUAUUUAUUGUUUAAUCAAAACUUUAGUAGAAUACUGAUAGUGUAAGAUAUAUCUGUUUACCUCUUCAGGGUACCUGAGAUCAUCACCAUUUUUUUUUUUUUUUUUUUUUUUUUUUUUUGUGGUGUUUGAUAUUCCAUGUUGUGAUUUGUGUACUGUUGUUUAUCUGUUUGUCUUUUUUUAUCAAUGGUGUUGUCAGUUCGCUUUAGACUUAUAAACGUGAACGUCCGUAUCUCUCGCCACUAUCUUUCCUGUAUACCACAGGAACUAAUUGUAAUGAUAUUUAGAAAGAUAAUCUUUCGUACCAUUUCAUUCUUUCUAAAUUCAAUGAUACAAAUCCUUCAACAUUUUUUUUUCAAAAUUUACACUGCAUUUAUAAGCUUUUUGUCUGAACCCUCUCUUUUAUAUACUUUUUAUGAUAGUUUCGUAUGGGUUAGUGUUAUCUUUCAAGAAAAUCACAUUUCAAGUUGUUCGGAAUCUUAGGUGCAAGUUUGACACUUUUUAAAAUAUAAGCUUCUGAAAAACGUGCGGAAAUAUUAUCAUGGAUAUAUACGUCUUUCCUUUACGAAUUCUUAUUUAUAUUCUUUAUAGUAUAGCACCUACCGCAAUAUCCUAGUAAUGUAGUGUUUUCCAUGUCAGUAUAUCUGUUAUCUUCAUUUUCUUUUCAGAUUAAAUAUUUUAACAUUUUUACUCCACCCCUUUCCAUUUUUACAUGCAAGACUUGGGCAGGACAAUUAAUAAUGUUUUCAAUUACGGAUAAAUUUUUUGUUGUUAAAUUGCGAUACGCUGUGACUUGACAAUCCUGUUCAACUUAAAGUAACAGUUUUAAUUUAAAGAAAAUAACCAUGUGUAGCGAAAUAUUGUGAGACGUUUGUGCAUAUAAUAAGUAAAUGUAAUACUAUAAUAUCUUUGGGUGUGCAACUGUUAUUGCGAACGUUAUGUAUAUAUGUGAUUAUAAUUUAGAUUCAUUUUAUUGUGCACGUUAUGUGUAUGUGAUUUUGAGUUUGGAUUCAUUUCCUCUGUAUAUUAUUUCUUUCACAUUUUAAAGACAGCUUUUCAAGUGUAGCUUCAAGCUGGACGAAGGUUUAAUCUAAAAUCGACGGUAAUAAAUAAAAGUACAUCUAGAAAUCAAUGUGCUUUCCAAAUUAAGUUAUACCACAACCAACUGACAAAGACAUUAUUACUUAGAAAUUACUUAUUGAGUUUUCCUUUCUU
rnacentral:lncRNA from 1 species